rnacentral:tRNA from 1 species
CGGGGCGUGGCGCAGCCUGGUAGCGCGCUUGCUUUGGGAGCAAGAAGUCGGAGGUUCAAAUCCUCUCGCCCCGACCA